rnacentral:rRNA from 1 species
UACGUAGGGUGCAGGCGUUAAUCGGAAUUACUGGGCGUAAAGCGUGCGCAGGCGGUUUGCUAAGACAGGUGUGAAAUCCCCGGGCUUAACCUGGGAACUGCGCUUGUUACUGGCAGGCUUGAGUGUGGCAGAGGGGGGUGGAAUUCCACGUGUAGCAGUGAAAUGCAUAGAGAUGUGGAGGAACACCGAUGGCGAAGGCAGCCUCCUGGGCCGACACUGACGCUCAUGCACGAAAGCGUGGGGAGCAAACAGG